rnacentral:rRNA from 1 species
GUGGGGAGCAAACAGGAUUAGAUACCCUGGUAGUCCACGCCCUAAACGAUGUCAACUAGGUGUUGGGGAAGGAGACUUCUUAGUACCGCAGCUAACGCGAUAAGUUGACCGCCUGGGGAGUACGGUCGCAAGAUUAAAACUCAAAGGAAUUGACGGGGACCCGCACAAGCGGUGGAUUAUGUGGAUUAAUUCGAUGCAACGCGAAAAACCUUACCUACCCUUGACAUGUCAGAAAGAUCGCAGAGAUGUGAUUGUGCCCGAAAGGGAAUCUGAACACAGGUGCUGCAUGGCUGUCGUCAGCUCGUGUCGUGAGAUGUUGGGUUAAGUCCCGCAACGAGCGCAACCCUUGUCAUUAAUUGCCAUCAUUUAGUUGGGCACUUUAAUGAGACUGCCGGUGACAAACCGGAGGAAGGUGGGGAUGACGUCAAGUCCUCAUGGCCCUUAUGGGUAGGGCUUCACACGUAAUACAAUGGCGCGUACAGAGGGUUGCCAACCCGCGAGGGGGAGCUAAUCUCAGAAAGCGCGUCGUAGUCCGGAUCGGAGUCUGCAACUCGACUCCGUGAAGUCGGAAUCGCUAGUAAUCGCGGAUCAGCAUGUCGCGGUGAAUACGUUCCCGGGUC